rnacentral:rRNA from 1 species
CCUUUGUACACACCGCCCGUCGCUACUACCGAUUGAACGGCUUAGUGAGUCCUUUGGAUUGUUGGAAACUGAUUGGCAACAGUCGGUUUCUGACGAGAAGUUGGGCAAACUUGGUCGUUUAGAGG